UGGUUAACCCAGACAAUGAACUACUAACACUGCAGGAAGGACAAAGUCUGCCUCAACAGGAUGCCGCUUUAUCAUUGCUAGUCCGAGGUCCAGCCACCAUUACUGGAACAACUGCAACACCCACUAAUGCCAAAUAUCCAACUUUCUGUCUAACAAAUUAAUAGGAACCCAAGCAAAGCUUUCUCAUUCUUGUUGUAAUGGGCUGAGUUGUGAAGGAAGUGCUGCAGUUCUUUCUACGCAGACGUCUUUCCAAGGAACUGGGGAAUUUCAGUGAGUCCCACGUGCAACUUGGAAUUUGAUUAUUGAGGCAAUAUGCCAGCUCCUGAACAGAUCCCUUUUGAAGAUGGGCUGCAACCGAACACCCAAGAAUCUUCUGCAAAUCCUGCCAUGGAAACAGAGGCUACUGCCACUACUAUUCUAGCUUCUGUAAAAGAACAGGAACUCCAAUUUCAAAGACUCACCAGAGAACUUGAAGUGGAAAGACAAAUUGUUGCCAGUCAGUUAGAAAGAUGUCGGCUUGGAGCAGAAUCGCCAAGCAUUGCAAGCACAAGGUAUCCGUCCAUAUUUAAUUUACAAAUUGUCAGCUACUUCUUUCAAAUAAACCUUUAUCACAGCAUGAAUUAUGAAAAUUUUUCAAUCUAUAAAUACCACAUUCAGCAUUAUUUCACAGCCAUUUUCCUGCCAGCUACCUGGGAAUCAUGGCUUUAGCUCUGUAGCAGGGAAGGCAGAUGACAGAUUGGAGUUGUCAUUGGCAGUUCUCACCGUGAUUUGCAGUAGAUCAUUAACAAAACCUACAGUUCUCCUUGCUUUAAAUGAAAGCAUAGCAGUGGAAGAGAAAGGCAUGAACUUUGUUCAUUUUAUAUAGCUAUAUUUUGAGAAUCAUUCUGCUGUAGAAAACAGAUUUAUAGGAUGGGCAUAAGUUCUGAAGCUCCCUUAUUCCUUAAUUCUAGAAGUAUUCCCAGCCACAAUUAUUUUGCACCUCUUGUUUGUGGCCUUUGGAUUUGUAGGGAACACACACACCACAAUGUAUACAAUUGAUCUUGAACAUCUGAAGUCUGUCUCUUUCUGCUCUAAGAUGUUGUUAUUUCAUUUAUUUAGGGAUUCAACAAAGUGAUUUGGGGCCCCCACAUGAUAAUUCACUAAAUAACAUCAGGGUAGCCCUGCUAAAUAAUAACAAAUAUUAUCUACACUAUUAAGUUAACUUCUGCACUAUUAAAUUAA